rnacentral:rRNA from 1 species
UACGGGGGAGCAAGCGUUGUUCGGAUUUACUGGGCGUAAAGGGCGCGUAGGCGGUCAGCACAAGUCAGUUGUGAAAUCUCCGGGCUUAACUCGGAAAGGUCAACUGAUACUGUGCGACUAGAGUGCAGAAGGGGCAACUGGAAUUCUCGGUGUAGCGGUGAAAUGCGUAGAUAAUCGAGAGGAACACCUGCGGCAAAGGCGGGUUGCU